rnacentral:rRNA from 1 species
GACGAACGCUGGCGGCGUGCUUAACACAUGCAAGUCGAACGGAAAGGCCCUGCUUUUUUGGGGUGCUCGAGUGGCGAACGGGUGAGUAACACGUGAGUAACCUGCCCUUGACUUUGGGAUAACUUCAUGAAACUGGGGCUAAUAGCGGAUAGGAUCUCCCGCUGCAUGGUGGGGGUGGGAAAGUUUCGGCGGUUGGGGAUGGACUCGCGGCUUAUCAGCUUGUUGGUGGGGUAGUGGAUUACCAAGGCUUUGACGGGUAGCCGACCUGAGAGGGUGACCGGCCACAUUGGGACUGAGAUACGGCCCAGCCUCCUACGGUAGGCAGCAGUGGGGAAUAUUGCACAAUGGGAGGAAGCCUGAUGCAGCCACGCCGCGUGCGGGAAGACGGCAUUCUGGUUGUAAACCGCUUUCGCCUGUGACGAAGCGUGAGUGACGGUAAUGGGUAAAGAAGCACCGGCUAACUCCGUG